UUUGGUGGCGAUAGCGAAGAGGUCACACCCGUUCCCAUACCGAACACGGAAGUUAAGCUCUUCAGCGCCGAUGGUAGUCGGGGGUUUCCCCCUGUGAGAGUAGGACGCCGCCAAGCAA
rnacentral:rRNA from 3 species